GCCAAGUACUCACUUACCAAGCAGGAAAGAAGAGACUCAAAAAAAAUGCAUAAGGACCACUGUGACUGCCUAGACGGACAUCACCAGCAUGAGUAUGAAAUGAUCCACACUGCUCUAAAUCUGGCCAGAGGAAAAUUCCUCUAGAGAUGAUAUGUGUACAGUGUGAAUCCUGGUGCCGACAGAAGACCGAGAGGUUUAUGGCUCCGCUGGAACUGAAGUAAGUGGCGAUUGUAAACUGCUGUUGAGCACUGGGAACUGAACCCAGGUCCUCCGUAAGAGCAGCAAGUGUUCUCCAGCCUGCUGUGUACCUUCUUUAAAGACAGCCGGAGUCCGUACAAUCUCAAGACAAUAAAAAGAAAUCCGGUAAUAGGGAGACAGGGCACAGGGCAGUGUGGGAUUGCAUGUGAAAGAAGCCAAGGGCAUACCCAGGA